ACAUACCAAGUGAAAGUGGCUCCAGAAGUGUCGUGCUGCUCAAAGUACACAUCUGCAAAGCAGAAUCAAAUUUUGUUGGAUUUGAGUGUCUAUUUCAAAAAAGGAAGAAUAAGAAAAGCUGCCCUUGUGUCUUGUGAGGUUUUUUUUUUUCUUCUUCUUCUUUUAAGCAAGUUUUUUCCUCUUCUUUUAAGCAAGUUUUUGGUUA
rnacentral:lncRNA from 1 species